rnacentral:lncRNA from 1 species
AGCCUGGCUCCGGCUGCGUGUACAACGAGACCGCGGGCACGCACUCCCCCCUGCUGGGUAUCAUGUACGACAGCAUCCCGAUUUACGGCGCCCUGGGCGACAACGGUGUGCCGCCGGCGGACCUAGACGAGUGCGGCGGCCACACAGACACCACCUACCCCUUCUACCACUACCACACCACAUACAACUUGAAGUCCCCGUGAGUAUAACCAAACGGUCUGUUAGGUCCAGAUAUGCCUAACGAUAUCCUGUAAAUGCGGGAGCGUUGGAUGGACUACUUGUGAUUACAUGCCAAUCCGGAAGACGAGAAAUAUGCGAGUUUAGGGCUUAGCUUGGACUCGGAUCCACAUUUUAGUAUAUGAAGGAUGACACCUGUCGUACUCCAACGGUAGCAAGACAUGCAUACAUGCAUGGCAGCACACCAUAAUAUUACCUAGUUGAAGCCGUGGCGCGAAGGAGGGUUGUACCCGUUGUACCCGUUUUUCGGGCCCCGUUGGCUGGGAUAGAUACAGCUGCAGUGCAGGGCCCUCACGCAUGCAAGGCCCUCCGCCCAGGCAUAUUGUCACUAGGGUUUUUCAGAGCUUGAGAAGGCCCCUCCGCUCCUCUGGGGCAUCUGGCCCUGGGAGCAUGUGCACGGAAGUGAUCCGACCCCUCCGCGGUAACAGUUACUUUCCGUACAUGUCGUACAGGUACCUCGUCAAGUGCUUCCGCGGCUGCAUUUUCAACGCCAACGGCAACCCCUCGGUGAGCUGCCGCCUGGCCCAGACCUGUCGGUCUUACCACACAUACAGCCCUCAUCUGCCUUGUGUGCUUGCGUGGCUCUUUCAGACAGUUGCCAUUGCCCGAGGACUUGCCCGUAGCCUGGGACCGGACCGUGCAACAUAUGCGCUUGGCUGUUGAUGGUCAUUUUCUUCAUGCUGCGUGCACGACAUGCGUUGCUUUGCUGUUCGCGCAUGUCCCAGAGAUGUUGAGGGUUUUCAGGGCGCUCAGGUCAUCGGGUCAUUAUGGCACCCGCCAUCACCACCGUGAGCUGAUUGGACAAGAGCAUCAUCAUCUAAUGCUUUAGCAAUGCCACCCGUUACGAUGUGUCACUGUGACUAGACCUCCGAACUGUUGCCCUGUUCCUCCCUCCCGCAGAUCCAGCAGUACAACCUGGUCAAGACCGACGCCACGUGCGUAAAGGCGGCGACGCAGUACGACUACAGCUCCUUCGUCAAUCCCCUGCUGUCGUCAAGCCCUGUGACUACCAGCUCGCCGCCGCCGCCGCCACAAACCGGGUCAAGUAGCCCGCCGCCGCCGCCAUCAGCGCUGCGCAGCCCGCCGCCGGUGCUUGGGAAGCCACCAAAGGCGCAGGCGGGUAGCCCGCCACCGCCUCCGCCACCAACAUCGCGCAGCCCGCCGCCGGUGCUUGGGAAGCCACCAAAGGCGCAGGCGGGUAGCCCGCCGCCGCCGCCACCAACAUCGCGCAGCCCGCCGCCGGCAAUGACACGUAGCCCGCCGCCGUCGCUGCCAUCCAAGUCGCCGCCGCCGCCACCGCCACCGGCAGUAGCGGGGUCGCCGCCACCAGCGGGGAUGCGGCCCAAGCCGCCCAAGGCUGUGGUAGGCAGGCGCCUGUAAAGUAUUGACGUGUUCUUUGCAUUCAUGAGGCGCCAGACAUGCUUCUCACCAUAUCGUGGACAUGUUAAGCCCACCCUUCCGGGCGUUUAUGUACCAUAGCCGUUGCUUCGGUUACAUUCAUUAGGAUCCAUUCCAUAACCCGGAUCCAAAUGUUACAUUGCUAUGCCUGCUUAUGCCUGAAGUACGCGUUCGAAUUCAUCAAGCGAUGUGCACUGGGACCCAUUUUGAGUUGGUUGCACGCUAUAGUUGCUUUUGAGGUGAUGGAUAUAUCAAAGGUAAUCUUGAGGGCGCGAUGGCCAAACACAGCCGUACGUGUAUGAUUCUGAAGCUAAUCUUGUGAGACAUUAGAUUCGCAAGCAUCAUAUAUAAGAAACACUGCUGCACAGGUUACCCCUUCAUGCUAAUAAACACGAUGCAUGGUACAUUGUUGCGGCAUCUGCUGGGAAGGGGAUGUGGCGCCGUACGGGGAGGCCGGAGCGCUCCCAAGGCGCAGAUCGCUUGCGUCCAUGCAUGGGCGUGCAUGUAGUGGUCGUAGAUUGCACGCAUGUGGAAAUAUAACGACACCUGUCAUCGCUCGUGGUCCAUAAUAUCACGUAUGUCCAUCGCCAUAAUUUCGGCUUGGAGGAGGCCAAUCAGCAGCCAAUAAAACUCAGUUGUAUCCGCUAGUUCGGGUUAGGUUGGGGUAGUUCGGGCUCAGGUAAUUCGCGUACGUUUUCGAGGCAUGGUGUUGUUGUAUUGGUCAACAAUUGUAGGUUACAUACAGCUGCUCAACGAGCGCGCUCCUCGUGUGUCGAGCAAUUUAGCUAGAUUAAUCCCGGACCCCAGGCGCAUGGAUGGCGGUAUGGAGCUGUCCCGAUACGGAGCAUGGCCCGCCGUUAUCGGAAAACCAUGUGACAUCCUUAGAUGCUUGACUCUUGUAAAGUACUCUUCCCGGGCAGUGUACAAUUCAUGAAAUGAGUGCAAAACAUGUGGUCAUGGCCUGCAUUGGAAUACCAUGCGCAACAUGACCUGGUCAUGUUCCACAUGUCAUAGAUAUUUAUGUGCAGGUAUAUGACCGACUUUAUGACCCCCUGGGGUCAUAAAGCGCAGCCAUGACUGCCAGUGGCUGGGGUCAUAUUGGGAUCCACUUUUUCAUAAAUUGACAUCAUGAAUCGCAGACAUUCUAUGACCCCCACCAGUCAUAUCCUGCACUUGGCUUUUGCAAACUAUGAACAGUUCCAUGACCGGAUCCAUGAAUAAGUGACAAAUUAUGACCGGAUCUAUAACAACAUUCAUGACCGGAUCCAUGACUGGAAAACCCGUCCAUGACCAAGCCGUUCCCCGAGUGCCCUGUCCUCGCUCUGCCUGCGCGUCAGUAACACCACACACAGCAGCCGAACUCGCAAGCGUAGCAAAUACCGAGGACAGGCUUGUAAAGACAGGGCAUUUCUGGUGGCCCAGGUUCAAAUAUAAAAACAACAACAGGUUUUCGGGAGGUUUAGGGGUCUCACACUUUGCUUGAGAUUGACUGGAUCCACCCCAAAGCGCCCCAAGGCUUGCUACAUGCGCGACCGUGCGCUUCCCGUGUUUUGACACACAAGGCGAGUUCGUUCCGAUCCGAGCCAGCACGGUGACCGUGGGUUUCGUCAAUGUAAUCUGUAGCUGCCAAUUGAUCUUGACAGAGAGGUUACGUCCAAUUACGAGGGGGUUGCAAAGCAUGUAGCAAUGUCCCAGUCACUAAAAUAAGCAAAGCUCGGUAUAUACCAUAUAUGGUAACCGCCGCAUCGACCAUCCCCAACCAUUCUUGUAUGCCAGGGGUGUAUGUGAAUACUUUUAUGCACAACUGAAGUUUUUGCACGCAUGUCGAUAAUUUCGUUGGUCCUGUGGACAAGGAUGAGGACAUCAAAAUGGCGGUAGUCCACACACCCCGAGGAGGAGCUCAAGAGCUCAUUUGUGCGCGUUCUGGAGGUGUGUACUGUCCAAACACGAAUGACAUGCGGGUGAACUCUGCACACGGUGUGCAUGACUCAUGCCAUCUCGCAGAUGGCUACCCGCAUUGCUGGCAUGGGAGCAGUGUUGUUCGUCAGUUACGAACUUCCCCCGCGAGCGUCCUCGAACUGCCUACGGACAUGAAGCCGUUUCUCGUUGCUGCAAUGGUCCAAUACAUAUACCUCUCAAAUACAUUGACCACGCCUUGAGGUGGAGCUGUCGUUUGCGUUUUAAGGUGCUUGACCCCUGAAAUCAUGAAUUGGUCCAUGCUGAAAAAACAGUCAUGUUUGAUGUUAUGAUGGCACAUAGUAGGAGUGAACUGGGUGCAAUAGGUGUAACACAACAGUUGUGGUCAGGCAAACGAUCAAUGGAGGGAUGGUGGCACGCAAAGCAUGAUCGAUUGUUGAAUAAUUGGCACGCUAUCAUGCGUAUUGUGUCCGCGCCGGCAGACGAAACGUUUUAGGGGACCACGUGAUGAUUGCGUUUUUGAGCUCGUCCGCUCGUCAAAACGGUCAUUGUCUUUACCGUUGAGUUCUAUUUAGGCCCUUCUUUUUUCAAUUUACAUGAUAAUAAUUGUAUUAGGGGUGAUUUCAAUAUCCACCAGUGUGAUAGGGGUGACUUUAACAUCCUUCAAUGAACUCGUUGGGCUUAUUGGAGAUGCUGGCUUUGGCAUUUGUAAUAGCUUUACCAGGCUUAAAGGCUUUAAGUUUGCAGCCUGGUGCCGGCGGUGGCAGCACGCUAAGUGCUUGCCCAAGUGGCAAUGGCCAGGUAAAUGCCGGCUGACAAGGUCUUAAUCGGGUUUGAUUGCCAUUAAAUUAAAAGGAUUUCAAUAAUCGAGAAAUUUCCUAUUCUAUCCUUACCAACACUAGAAGUCGAGGGCGCCUGGGCCGCGGCAUGUCGCGACCGACGUUCGUCGCUAAAACUCCACACGCAGCCGCUAGUGAACGGAUAACGUCCAUAUCUAAACCUUUAAUCAGCGCUAACUGCAUGUCCACUAUGCUGGUCUGCUGCGUGCUGGCGGGGACGUAUCAUUUAUACGGCUCAUUUGACAGGUGGUGCGGCUGGUGAGCAAAACGAGCACCGAGUACACGGUCUUCUUCAGCGGCUGCCCGUUCUACAGCCCCUACAAUCAGACCACACCUAACACACCAGCCUUCCAGAACAAGACGGUGAGAACUCAGUCAACGCUGCGAAAAGUCAACGCUGUGGUACCUGUGGGGGCACCAAUUCACCGGCCUAACUAACUAACUACCGCGGACUCCCGCCAACCCACGGCGUGCAGGUUACGUUCCGCAUCACCCCGGUGCUCUCGUCCACCGUCACGUGAGUGCGGCCCGGGGGCCCGUACAUGGGCUUGGGAACUCGAGCUGUUUGUGGCCAGGGAACGAAGUGGUGCGAGUCCGGGCGGAAGGCCACAGGCGCUGUUCCUGCUGGGCUAGCCAACACUCGACUCAAGUCUUCUGCGCAGGUUCCUUGGUUCUUACACGGCAAGCUGCAUAAAUAAACCAUCAGUAGACUCGGCGCAACGCACAUAUGAACGCUCGCUGUCGGUUUAGGCCGUACGUGUUGUGGUCCCACGCAUUGUGCACCUAUGUAUCUAUCACCGUGAUGUUUCCAGCAACCGCAAUCGAUACGGCACCUGCCCGGCGUUUCGAGGCCGGAGUGGCACAAUGAUGCAUCCUGCUGCCUACCCGCCUGUGUGGCUAGCUCUAGGCGCAGACGCUGCUUCGCUCCCUCCACCCCUGGCCGCCCACUGUCCGCUGCCUUGCUUCACGCGUGUUGUGUUUCGCAUUGUUUUGUAGUGGGCUCCAGACUCGUGAAGAGUAGAUCCGUCGGGCCAGCUGGCCGUGCACUGCACCUAAGGUGUUUUAUUUGUUUCAGUAGCUCGGCCCUUGACUCACUUUCCCACUUCCUUUUCCCGCUCCUGAACCCGCCACUGAGCCCUUCCUCUCCCGCCCCGCCAUACGUCACAUACGGUCAUACAUACGUACCUACAGCUACGUCGGUAUUUAUGCCAGCGGCACCACCAGCAACUCCCAGAAGAUCAUGAGCACCAUCGGCUACACAGUCACCGGCAUUGCCAUGUUCAGCGAUGCGGAUGCUACCGGGUCUGACGCCUACGUCAACGUGGGUCGCGGGUUGGGGGGUCUGACGGCGGUUGGGGGGCCUUUGCAGCGGAUAGCCGGUGGAGCACACCAUCAUGGCUGCAGUACUGCCGCCCCUGCCCCUUAUGCAGCUGUGCUGCUAAUCCCGCCACUGCCCCUGCUGCUACUGCCCAUUACAGGAGGGCCACACUUUCGAUGGGUGCCGCGGUCACGCCGGUGAGUGAGGUUUCAUGGGGUUCCUGCAUGUGUGUUACUGUUGCUGUGCACGCAUUGUGAGGUCCUCUGCUUGUUGCGGCCCUGCCCGGCAUGGGGCAGAGGUGGACACGGGGGCGGAGGGGCAUUGGCGGCGUCCGAGUAGUAGUGUGCAGCCUCUGUGGCUUCGGACCCCUAUCCAUGCAAGGGAUGUUGGUCCUUGGUCCAUGAUAAAUGGAAGGUGCAGAGUACUGGACCGUGGUCUUGUGCCCACAAUCAUUCCUUGUGCCCGCCCCAAACCAAAUCGCCUGCCGCCGCUACCCCCCAGCUCCCCUAACCGUUCUGUCCUCAUCUAAAGCCACCUCACGCCCUAAUCCCGAUCCCUGCCUACUUCGGCGUGCAGAAAUGAACGGUCUCUACCACUUUCACACUGAGCCUGGCUCCGGCUGCGUGUACAACGAGACCGCGGGCACGCACUCCCCCCUGCUGGGUAUCAUGUACGACAGCAUCCCGAUUUACGGCGCCCUGGGCGACAACGGUGUGCCGCCGACUAACCUAGACGAGUGCGGCGGCCACACAGACACCACCUACCCCUUCUACCACUACCACACCACAUACAACUUGAAGUCCCCGUGAGUGCAAGAAGGAAGCCAUGGCUUGUUCUGGAGCUUGUCAGGAAUGCUCCUUGCAUCUCUCACGUAAUACAAGGAAAUAUCACUUUAAGCUCUGUCAAGCGUACGCAUCUCAGCCAUCCCGUUUCUCCGUGUACCUUUGCCCCUCAAAUCCUGGAUAAAAUCCUGGGAGCAAAGGUUAAAUCUCGCACCUCUAAUCCUGCAUUUUUCCUUUGCGCCACGGCCGGUGGCACGCGGCCCCUCAUGUGGUCUGGCGCGCGGACAGCCGGUGGCUUCAGGGCGGAACUGAGCUUGUGCGGGGUGCAGAGCUCUCCCAUGUCACGCCUGUCUUUUGGAUUCCGUCCAAAGAGGGGCCGCAUUACCCUGCCGUGUAACCACCGGGUACCCACUUCUGCGCCCUGAAUAACUGAAUCCACCUUCCCUGUGCAUGCCGUACUGCCGUACAGGUACCUGGUCAAAUGCCUCCGCGGCUGCAUCUUCAACGCGAAUGGCAACCCCUCGGUGAGCCACUGAGCUAACUGACGCCCAUGUCGCACCUAAGUUCUAUCACACAUACCUACCCUAGGGCAAUGUGUCCACCUCCUUGCACAAAGCGCGAAGUACACCACACACGCCUUAACCUUGUGGGUUCAAACCUCCAAACUGUUGCCCUGUUCCUCCCUGCCUCAGAUCCAGCAGUACAACCUGGUCAAGACCGACGCCACGUGCGUAAAGGCGGCGACGCAGUACGACUACAGCUCCUUCGUCAAUCCCCUGCUGUCGUCAAGCCCUGUGACUACUAGC